rnacentral:rRNA from 1 species
UGGCGGACGGGUGAGUAACGCGUGGGUAACCUGCCUCAUACAGGGGGAUAACGGUUAGAAAUGACUGCUAAUACCGCAUAAGCGCACAGUACCGCACGGUACGGUGUGAAAAACUCCGGUGGUAUGAGAUGGACCCGCGUCUGAUUAGCUGGUUGGUGAGGUAACGGCCCACCAAGGCGACGAUCAGUAGCCGACCUGAGAGGGUGACCGGCCACAUUGGGACUGAGACACGGCCCAG